rnacentral:rRNA from 1 species
GGUGCAUUAGCUAGAUUGGUGAGGUAACGGCUCACCAAGGCCACGAUGCAUAGCCGACCUGAGAGGGUGAUCGGCCACACUGGGACUGAGACACGGCCCAGACUCCUACGGGAGGCAGCAGUAGGGAAUCUUCCGCAAUGGACGAAAGUCUGACGGAGCAACGCCGCGUGAGUGAUGAAGGCUUUCGGGUCGUAAAACUCUGUUGUUAGGGAAGAACAAGUAUGAGAGUAACUGCUCGUACCUUGACGGUACCUAACCAGAAAGCCACGGCUAACUACGUGCCAGCAGCCGCGGUAAUACGUAGGUGGCAAGCGUUAUCCGGAAUUAUUGGGCGUAAAGCGCGCGCAGGCGGUUUCUUAAGUCUGAUGUG